rnacentral:rRNA from 1 species
AAUAGAUACCCGGGUAGUCCACGCCGUAAACGAUGAGUGCUAAGUGUUAGGGGGUUUCCGCCCCUUAGUGCUGCAGCUAACGCAUUAAGCACUCCGCCUGGGGAGUACGGUCGCAAGACUGAAACUCAAAGGAAUUGACGGGGGCCCGCACAAGCGGUGGAGCAUGUGGUUUAAUUCGAAGCAACGCGAAGAACCUUACCAGGUCUUGACAUCCCACUGACCGCUAUGGAGACAUAGUUUUCCCUUCGGGGACAGUGGUGACAGGUGGUGCAUGGUUGUCGUCAGCUCGUGUCGUGAGAUGUUGGGUUAAGUCCCGCAACGAGCGCAACCCUUGAUCUUAGUUGCCAUCAUUUAGUUGGACACUCUAAGGUGACUGCCGGUGACAAACCGGAGGAAGGUGGGGAUGACGUCAAAUCAUCAUGCCCCUUAUGACCUGGGCUACACACGUGCUACAAUGGACGGUACAAACGGUUGCCAACCCGCGAGGGGGAGCUAAUCCGAUAAAACCGUUCUCAGUUCGGAUUGUAGGCUGCAACUCG